GCCACGUUCGUGUGGUGGCAGCAGAGAAGCAACACAGCGUCUCCUGCAGGACGGAUCGAGCCUCGGUGCCGCCGGACUCUGGUUUGGCACGGCGGUGGAUCCGUAACGAAAGGCGACUCGGUCAUGUGCUCGUCCAGCAGCAGCAGGUCGUAACUCACCCAGCAGGACGAAGAUGCAGGCCAGGAUGGCGAUGAGCGCCCCUCUGCUGAGGCUCGCGGGCAGACUGUACGCCUCGGCGUUGCACGACAUGACAUUGCCCUCGUGGUCGCAGCUGCACACGCGGAUGGUCAGCGUGCUGGUGCUGGUCUGGACCGGCUGCUCGCCGUCGGAGAUGAAGAUGGGCAGGGUUGAGGUGGAAGACUGAAGUACAAGAGGCGGUAUAAUGAACAGCUAAUGUGGGUGAAGUUGGGGUUGUUGGCGGCCUCUGGAGCCAGACUGUAGUAGAAGUGUUGUCCACCCAGCGGCUCAUCUGGAUCCACUGCCGUCACCGUCUGGAUCAGCUGGAUUACAUCACAUAGAGUCAGAUCCCAGCGGA